rnacentral:pre_miRNA from 1 species
AGGAGGAACAGCCCCAGUGGCGGGGCAGCUCUGGAAACCUGGAUUCAGCUCCGGCAGGAACUCCGGGGGUCUCCGUCUGCAGGGCCUGGAGGCUCCGGGCGGGG